UAACAGCUCUUCAUUCCGUUUCUCUCAUUCUCUCUCACUUUUUCUCAUUGCGGUUUCUCUCUCUCUCUCUCUCUCACAACUAUUUUCUCCAUCUUUUACAUUUUUCCCCCUCCGACGCCGUUCCUGCGCCACCACCUCACUGACACCGCCGCUCCUCCGUUCCGUGAAUGACCUCCUCUCAGGAUGCGCCGCCACCGUACCUCAGUUCAGCGUUUUCAUCCAGUCCUCCUCUCAACCUCCUUAGUGGCUAGGUCGUGACCUCACCGGCGCCGUUUUUCAUGCCUUGAUUUAGACUUCAUCCACUCAUCGGCAACUCAAUUAUCGCCACCUGUGGCCUCCCUCCUCUCCUCGGCAUGACGGCGAUGACUCAAUAUCUUCUCCACGGCGUUAAUUCCCUAAUUUUCGUCAUCACAAGCGGCGGUCUUCCCUAAUCUUCACCCUGGCUGGCAUUAAGCCCUCAUCGCCAUCUCAGGGGACUACCUUCAUAUUUCAAAGAAAAUGGCAGCUGCUUAAGGGAAGCAUACGGCUUAUUAAUAUGGCUUAAUUAAGGGCAGCUGCUUCUACACAAUUAAAAUGUCAACAAAUAGAAUAUGGCUUGGACUGCGGUUGGAUAUGUUGUUCAGCAUUACUUGGAGAAUGAAGAUGAGGCAGAAAAUCAGCAAUAAAGGGGUGGCUCAAUUAGUUUUUGACAUUAUAGCUUAUGGUGAAAGGAAAAGGAACACUAUAUAUCAUUAUCACAGUGUUUCUGCUUCAGGGGUUUUUCUAGGUCCAAUCAUCGCUUGCUUGGCACCUCAUGAUUGGUUAAUUUGAUAAAAAAUCCUACAUGGCAUUCAGUCCUUGAUUCUUCUUAUCCUACACCUUUCUCCUUAUCCUUUACUCAUCUCUCCUUAAUAGCAUUUAUUCAAAACGCGUUUUUCCCCGCUCUCAUCUCUUUUCCUCCUCUGCCGUUUCAACCCUCCAAUUCAUCUCUUCUAGAUUUUCCUCACCGUAUGCGAUUUCCAAAUUGAUAAGCCCUUGAAUCGAAACCUAAAGGGCUUCCGGAUUCUGAUCAUUCAUCGCUUCAAUCGGAUCUCUCAUAGCCUGCUCUGAUGCAAACGUCAUAAAUCCAAAUCCCCUCGACCUUCCAUCCUCACGAUCAUUAAUGACCUGAAAUUCAAACUAAAACAAACAGCAGUAUCAGAUCUAAGAAUUCGUAUUCACAAUUCGCCCUCCUCUCAAGAUCAAAGGCUACAAGUUUCAUUUUCCUGAUAUCACUGAUGGAUUCGCCAGUCAUAUUGAAUUCCUCAUAUUGAUUACUAGCUUCCAUUAUCAGGGGGAAUGAUGAUGAUUCUAUCAUGAAGACUGAGUAGGCUCUGGAAGAAAAACACAAGCAAAAACAUUCAUUUGAGCUAUCAGGAAAUCCUCUUAUGUGAUUUCAAGUAUUUUCUUUAACAAACAAUUCAAGUAAUUUGGCAGAAGAUGAGAUGAGUAUUAAUCCACGAUUGAAGUUUAAAUCUCUUCAAUUUAUUCUAGUUCUAAUGUUGGUUAUUGAGUUGUUAUUUUCACUAUGCAGGUGUUACUCCAUGAUUCAAUCUUCUGAGAAACAGUGUAUCAUAGAGCCAUUCUAGCAUUUCCAUUGUAACUUCAUGCUGAAUAUGGAAUCAAACCCAGGGGCCAAAUUUAAGGACAUUUGAAACAUGGUAGGAGCUAAAGGGAAGACUAUUAUCUCAUAAGCUUACUAAGGUGUCUGAACGGGAAGAACAUUCAAUGUAUUCCAUGUGAGAGCUUGAACAUCACAAAAUAUGAUUGAAGACUGAGCAUAGGAAGAGCUAUACGCAGGGAAAAUGUUCUUUGAGGAGCCGGAUAGAGAUGGUGAUAGCCAAGAAACUCUUUCAGGCGGGUAGGUGUCUAGGUCUGAAUCCUCCUCUUCACCGUGGAUGCCAUUAUGACCUCAUCGCCAUCUCAUUGAUAACAUAGCGAAGCGCUUAACCAAGUGGAGUUUCUUUUGAAAUUAUGAAGGUCGCAUGGGUAUUGGGAGAAGCACAAAAUGAUUGGUGGAAAUCAUGCAGACAAGGAAGAGGAUUAAGGAGAAAAAGCAAACAUGCAGCUUCAACUACAAGUUUGACAUCUGAAGAUAUAACUUUGACCAUCAAUUCCAAUGAGCUCUUUCGUUUGUUUUGCUGAGUUUUUAUGAAGAGUGAAUGAUGAAAGAGGUCUUGGAGACACCGGGAGAGCAGAGAUUCAUGUCUAUUAUGGAUGAAAACUAGAAACGAAGUUAUGAUGGUGAAGUUCAAACAGUUUCUAUGAGUGAUCUUUGAUUGAAAGCUGCGUUUUUAGAAGGAGAAAGCUCUUUAAGACUAUCGAUCAACUGCUGGAACAGAAGGAAAAUGAUCUUGAAAGUCAUGGCCUCGAGCAGGAGAAGCUUCACUUUGAGAUGUACUAUUUCUUUUGGGGUUAGCUAUGUCUGCAUAUAUAGAGCUUAACUGAGCAUGGUUUGCCACCAUGAUGAAUGGUUUAACAUAGAAGCACUUAUGUUAGAUGACUUCAAGACUUGGGACUUUCAUGACUAAUGUUGGAAAAACUUGAAGUAUUUGAAAUAUUAGAUUCAUAGUAGUUAUUAAAUUGCAUGAGUUAGAUCACCCAUUGUUGUAUUUUGUUUUUUUUUACAAUGAAAAGCUAGAAUCAUUUAAAUUCAAUCAUUUCUUUAAGAACCGAUGUAAUUAGUGUGGUCCAUUCAUGAAUCUCUUUCAAUGAAAUUCGCAUUGCAAGGUCUUUGUUAAA